rnacentral:rRNA from 1 species
UACCAGCACCCCGAGUGGUCGGGACGUUUAUUGGGCCUAAAGCAUCCGUAGCCGGUUCUACAAGUCUUCCGUUAAAUCCAACUGCUUUACAGGUGGGCUGCGGAAGAUACUAUAGAGCUAGGAGGCGGGAGAGGCAAGCGGUACUCGAUGGGUAGGGGUAAAAUCCGUUGAUCCAUUGAAGACCACCAGUGGCGAAGGCGGCUUGCCAGAACGCGCUCGACGGUGAGGGAUGAAAGCUGGGGGAGCAAACCAG